UACGGAGGGGGCAAGCGUUAUUCGGAAUUAUUGGGCGUAAAGGGCGCGUAGGCGGCUUGACAAGUCAAAGGUGAAAUCCCUCGGCUCAACUGAGGAACUGCCUUUGAAACUGUCUGGCUUGAGGCCGGGAGAGGGUAGCGGAAUUCCCAGUGUAGCGGUGAAAUGCGUAGAUAUUGGGAGGAACACCAGUGGCGAAGGCGGCUACCUGGACCGGUUCUGACGCUGAGGCGCGAAAGCGUGGGUAGCAAACAGG
rnacentral:rRNA from 1 species